AUACGUAGGGUGCGAGCGUUAAUCGGAAUUACUGGGCGUAAAGCGUGCGCAGGCGGUUUUGCAAGACAGAUGUGAAAUCCCCGGGCUCAACCUGGGAACUGCAUUUGUGACUGCAAGGCUGGAGUGCGGCAGAGGGAGAUGGAAUUCCGCGUGUAGCAGUGAAAUGCGUAGAUAUGCGGAGGAACACCGAUGGCGAAGGCAAUCUCCUGGGCCUGCACUGACGCUCAUGCACGAAAGCGUGGGGAGCAAACAGGAUUAGAUACCCUGGUAGUCCACGCCCUAAACGAUGUCAACUGGUUGUUGGACGGCUUGCUGUUCAGUAACGAAGCUAACGCGUGAAGUGGACCGCCUGGGGAGUACGGCCGCAAGGUUGAA
rnacentral:rRNA from 1 species